rnacentral:lncRNA from 1 species
GGAAAGUGCAAUUCUCCACAUAAUGAAGUUUCCACCUAAAUUCCUAAUUAAAGAAAAUUUUCAGCCGAUAAACUAGAGAAAGACUCAUAAAAGACAAACAUGCUUCCGGUCAAUACAAGUAAAGUGACACGGUAUAAAUAUGUCUAUUAUCUGGUGCACAUUCCCCCUCAAAGACUCGUCCUCUUCUGAGGACGACAAUGGCCGCUCGAUAUUUUGUUGCUGCAAAUGGUGGCAGGCUUGAUGCACAGGCCGUGGUGGAGAUUACUCUGAUUGCGGUGACACUGCUGGGCGGCGGAAUUCGUUAGUUAAACGAUGAAAGUUGAUCUCAGGGCUGGUUAAUGGAGUAUGAAUUUGUAGUAUAAUUAUAUUAGUUAAUUUAGGUUCGUACUAUUUUAGGACACCAAACCAAUAUAUUAUGUAGUCCAGUACGUUGUCAUAUAUAUAUAUGUUUAGAUCUCUCCAAAUGAAGUGAGUUAUGUGUUGGUUUUACCGUAAUAUGGUGUAUGUCUUCUUAUUUAUUCAUUUGUCCAUUUAUAUUUUUGGGAGUGGAUUUGGAGGGUUGUUGUUCGCUUUUGGUUGAGUUUUAAGGCAAUCCAACGAAGUGCUUGAGGUCGUGCAAUAAAAAUGUAUUAAACUCUUCGGAGAUCGAAUUGGUUUAGUGCAUGUUUGGGAUAGUUUAAAAGUUGAAGUCAAGUGCUUGAGGUUGUGCAAUAAAAAUGUAUUAAACUCUUCGGAGAUCGAAUUGGUUUAGUGCAUGUUUGGGAUAGUUUAAAAGUUGAAGUCAAAAUUUAAUUUUAAAUCUAAUUAUGCAUUUCAUUGAUCUACAACUUUUAUUAAUUUUUCAAUUUUUUAUUUCAGGACCAUUUGACAUGGC